rnacentral:rRNA from 1 species
ACGAACGCUGGCGGCAGGCUUAACACAUGCAAGUCGAACGGUUGUAGCAAUACAGCAGUGGCAGACGGGUGAGUAACACGUGGGAACCUUCCUAGGGGUACGGAACAACUCAGGGAAACUUGAGCUAAUACCGUAUACGUCCGUGAGGAGAAAGAUUUAUCGCCCCUAGACGGGCCCGCGUAGGAUUAGGUAGUUGGUGAGGUAACGGCUCACCAAGCCUACGAUCCUUAGCUGAUCUGAGAGGAUGAUCAGCCACACUGGGACUGAGACACGGCCCAGACUCCUCCGGGAGGCAGCAGUGGGGAAUCUUGGACAAUGGGCGCAAGCCUGAUCCAGCCAUGCCGCGUGAGUGAAGAAGGCCUUCGGGUUGUAAAGCUCUUUCGACGGGGAGGAAGGCACCGGCGCGAAUAGCGUUGGUGAUUGACGUCACCUGGAGAAGAAGCACCGGCUAACUCCGU